GGCUUGGUGGCUCAAUAGGGAGAGCAUCAGAUUCCAGAUCUGAAGUGUGUCGGUUCGAACCCGGCUCAAGUCC
rnacentral:tRNA from 1 species